UGUGGAUGCCUUUGUAGCUGGGUCUGAUUUGUUUACGAACCAGCCGUUAAGAUGUCAUGGGGAGCAGCAGGAGCCUGGGCUCAUUUUAAUUUUUUUUAAGUUUUCAUCUUGAGACAUGAAGACCAACUGGAUGUGUGGAGCUCUGAUUUCCUGUGUGGCAUUCGACCACAGAUGGUUUUCUUCAGUCACCUCCUAGUGGUGACCAGGAUCAGUAGAUGCAGGCCACAGGAGAAAGGAAAUGAAAAUUCAGCAGAUACCUGCUCACCAUUAUCUAAACAGGAUGGUUUUCACUGGCAGUGUUUCUGAAACCUUCUGUUUAAAAUCAAACAGCUGCUCCUGACCUUGCCAUCUGCUCGUGACACAGCAGCCUCUGGCUUCCUCGAUACACCGACUGUCCCCACAAAACAGUACUGAUUCUGUCAGUGAGAGGAUGCAUUCUCGAACACUCCGGGCAGGCGACCGUCCUUCAUAAAGCGAACCUCAUUGCCACUUGGCUGUUUGACUGUCAGGGGCUUCAUCGCAGUCUGCUCAGAAGGAGGAGAGACAAACCAGGUGUCACCGGAUUCUGUGGCUUUCUGGAGACAGCUGCUUUAAAGACCAGGUGGGGAUUAUCUUCUGAGUUUGUGACCAGUAUCUGGUCUUGGCCUGGUGAAUGGGAGAUCACCGCUGGUUAUAAUCCCUGCCAAACUGGAGGGCCUAGCACAAACUGCAACCUGCCCUCUGUCCACAUACCUGCAGCGACCAGCCUUCACCAUUGGGCCUGAUGAUGGAUACCUCAGGGAACAGCUGCCUGCCAAACAAUUCCAAGAUGUGGGAACAAUUACUGAUGUGUGUUACAGUGACAAUGUGCCGGAGGUGGAGAUCUUCAGUCUGUUGCAGGAGGGUUUGCCCAGGUACACGCUGCGAGCAGAUACUGUGUACGGUUACAGUCAUGACGACUGGUUAGAUACCCCCCUGGUGCCCCCUGACAUUAACAUCCGCCUCAGCCCGGAGCAGAUCGAAGAGACACUCAAGUAUUUCCGUGAGUAUUAUCCUCAGCUACAGAGGAGGGAGUUACAUAGUACAUAGAACACAGACCAAUGCAGCGCAGAACAGGCCCUUCGGCCCUUGAUGUUGUGCUGACCUGUGAACUAAUCUAAGCCCAUCCCCCUACA